rnacentral:misc_RNA from 1 species
GAAAUGCGAUAAGUAGUGUGAAUUGCAGAAUUCAGUGAAUCAUCGAAUCUUUGAACGCACAUUGCGCCCCUUGGUAUUCCAUGGGGCAUGCCUGUUCGAGCGUCAUUUGUACCCUCAAGCUUUGCUUGGUGUUGGGCGUCUUGUCGGAAUAUCCGACUCGCCUUAAAUACAUUGGCAGCCGGCACUUUGGCCUAGGAGCGCAGCACAUUUGCGAUCGUAAGCCGUUGUGACAGCAUCCAUAAGAUUUAUUUUACCACGUUUGACCUCGGAUCAGGUAGGGAUACCCGCUGAACUUAAGC